AGUGGCAAACGGGUGCGUACACAUUGGUAACCUACCCCAAAGACGGGAAUAACUCAGGGAAACUUGAGCUAAUACCCGAUAUGUUGCGACAGCUUAUGCUGUUUCAAUAAAGCUACGGCGCUUUGGGAUGGGCCUAUGCCUCAUCAGCUUGUUGGUAAGGUAAAAGCUUACCAAGGCUACGACGAGUAGCGGGUGUGGGAGCAUGACCCGCCUCACUGGGACUGAGACACUGCCCAGACUCCUACGGGAGGCCGCAGUCAAGAAUCUUCCUCAAUGCACGAAAGUGUGAAGGAGCGACGCCGCGUGAUUGAAGAAGCCCUUCGGGGUGUAAAGAUCUUUUUUCCGGGACGAACUAAUGACGGUACCGGAAGAAUAAGGGGCUGCUAAACUCGUGCCAGCAGCAGCGGUAAUACGAGUGCCCCAAGCGUUACCCGGAUUUAUUGGGCGUAAAGCGUGUGCAGGCGGUUUAUUAAGUCAAUGGUCAAAUCCUCCGGCUCAACCGGAGAACUGCCGUUGAUACUGAUAGACUAGAGGCUGGAAGAGGCAAGCGGAAUUGCUGGUGUAGGGGUCAAAUCCGUUAAUAUCAGCAGGAACACCAAAUGCGAAGGCAGCUUGCUAGGACAGACCUGACGCUAAUACACGAAAGCGUGGGGAGCGAAGCGGAUUAGAUACCCGCGUAGUCCACGCCGUAAACGAUGGAUACUAGACAUUGGGAGUUUCGACCCUCUCAGUGUCGUUGACAAAAGCUAACGCGUUAAGUAUCCCGCCUGGGGAGUACGGCCGCAAGGCUAAAACUCAAAGGAAUUGACGGGGACUCGCACAAGCGGUGGAGCACGUGGUUUAAUUCGACGCUAAGCGAAAAACCUUACCAAGGCUUGACAUAUAGCUGCACGCCUCCAGAAAUGGAGGAAGCUUUCGAAGGUGCUAUACAGAUGCUGCAUGGUUGCCGUCAGCUCGUGUCGUGAGAUGUACGGUUAAGUCUCGGAAAAGAGCGCAACCCCUAUCCUAAUUUGUAC
rnacentral:rRNA from 1 species